rnacentral:rRNA from 1 species
AUUGAACGCUGGCGGCAUGCCUUACACAUGCAAGUCGAACGGCAGCAUGAUCUAGCUUGCUAGAUUGAUGGCGAGUGGCGAACGGGUGAGUAAUACAUCGGAACGUGCCCUGUAGUGGGGGAUAACUAGUCGAAAGAUUAGCUAAUACCGCAUACGACCUGAGGGUGAAAGUGGGGGACCGCAAGGCCUCAUGCUAUAGGAGCGGCCGAUGUCUGAUUAGCUAGUUGGUGAGGUAAAGGCUCACCAAGGCGACGAUCAGUAGCUGGUCUGAGAGGACGAUCAGCCACACUGGGACUGAGACACGGCCCAGACUCCUACGGGAGGCAGCAGUGGGGAAUUUUGGACAAUGGGGGCAACCCUGAUCCAGCAAUGCCGCGUGUGUGAAGAAGGCCUUCGGGUUGUAAAGCACUUUUGUCCGGAAAGAAAUCGCACUUACUAAUAUUAGGUGUGGAUGACGGUACCGGAAGAAUAAGGACCGGCUAACUACGUGCCAGCCGCCGCCGUAACAC